rnacentral:rRNA from 1 species
CCUACGGGGGGCUGCAGUGGGGAAUAUUGCACAAUGGGCGCAAGCCUGAUGCAGCAACGCCGCGUGAGCGAUGAAGGCCUUCGGGUCGUAAAGCUCUGUCGCAUGGGAAGAUAAUGACGGUACCAUGUGAGGAAGCCCCGGCUAACUACGUGCCAGCAGCCGCGGUAAUACGUAGGGGGCAAGCGUUAUCCGGAAUUACUGGGCGUAAAGGGUGCGUAGGUGGUCUGCCAAGUUAGGGGUCAAAGGCAACGGCUCAACCGUUGUUCGCCCCUAAA